rnacentral:rRNA from 1 species
UGGGGAAUUUUGGACAAUGGGCGCAAGCCUGAUCCAGCCAUGCCGCGUGAGUGAAGAAGGCCUUCGGGUUGUAAAGCUCUUUCGGACGGGAAGAAAUGGCGGGCUCUAACAUAGCCUGUCGAUGACGGUACCGUAAGAAUAAGCACCGGCUAACUUCGUGCCAGCAGCCGCGGUAAUACGAAGGGUGCAAGCGUUACUCGGAAUUACUGGGCGUAAAGCGUGCGUAGGUGGUUGUUUAAGUCUGAUGUGAAAGCCCUGGGCUCAACCUGGGAAUGGCAUUGGAAACUGGGCAGCUAGAGUGCGGUAGAGGGUAGUGGAAUUCCCGGUGUAGCAGUGAAAUGCGUAGAGAUCGGGAGGAACAUCUGUGGCGAAGGCGACUGCCUGGACCAGCACUGACACUGAGGCACGAAAGCGUGGGGAGCAAACA